rnacentral:rRNA from 1 species
AAUCAACGCUGGCGGCGUGCCUCAGACAUGCAAGUCGAACGAUUAAAGCUCUCUUCGGAGAGUGCAUAGAGUGGCGCACGGGUGAGUAACACGUAAGUAAUCUACCUUCGAGUGGGGAAUAACGUCCGGAAACGGACGCUAAUACCGCAUAAUGCAGCGGCAUCAUAAGAUGACAGUUGUUAAAGAUUUAUCGCUUGAAGAGGAGCUUGCGGCAGAUUAGCUAGUUGGUAAGGUAAUGGCUUACCAAGGCUACGAUCUGUAACCGGUCUAAGAGGACGGUCGGUCACACUGACACUGAAUAACGGGUCAGACUCCUACGGGAGGCAGCAGUCGGGAAUUUUGGGCAAUGGGCGAAAGCCUGACCCAGCAACGCCGCGUGAAGGAUGAAGUACUUCGGUAUGUAAACUUCGAAAGAAUGGGAAGAAUAAAUGACGGUACCAUUUAUAAGGCCGGCUAACUACGUGCCAGCAGCCGCAGUAAC